rnacentral:SRP_RNA from 1 species
GCCGGGUGCGGUGGCUCAUGCCUGUAAUCCCAGCACUUGGGAGGCCGAGGCAGGUGGAUCACCUGAGGUCAGGAGUUUGAGACCAGCCUGGCCAACAUGGUGAAACCCUGUCUCUA